rnacentral:rRNA from 1 species
CGCGUAGGCGGUCUGCUAAGUCUGGAGUGAAAGUCCUGCUUUCAAGGUGGGAAUUGCUUUGGAUACUGGUGGGCUGGAGUGCAGGAGAGGAAAGCGGAAUUACCGGUGUAGCGGUGAAAUGCGUAGAGAUCGGUAGGAACACCAGUGGCGAAGGCGACUAACUGGACUGUAACUGACGCUGAGGCGCGAAAGUGUGGGAGCAAACA